rnacentral:rRNA from 1 species
AGCGAACGCUGGCGGCAGGCUUAACACAUGCAAGUCGAGCGGGCCCUUCGGGGUCAGCGGCAGACGGGUGAGUAACACGUGGGAACGUACCCUUUGGUUCGGAAUAACGCUGGGAAACUAGCGCUAAUACCGGAUACGCCCUUUUGGGGAAAGGCUUGCUGCCGAAGGAUCGGCCCGCGUCUGAUUAGCUAGUUGGUGGGGUAAUGGCCUACCAAGGCGUCGAUCAGUAGCUGGUCUGAGAGGAUGAUCAGCCACACUGGGACUGAGACACGGCCCAGACUCCUACGGGAGGCAGCAGUGGGGAAUAUUGGACAAUGGGCGCAAGCCUGAUCCAGCCAUGCCGCGUGAGUGAUGAAGGCCUUAGGGUUGUAAAGCUCUUUUGUCCGGGACGAUAAUGACGGUACCGGAAGAAUAAGCCCCGGCUAACUUCGUG